rnacentral:rRNA from 1 species
GAAGGUGGCAAGCGUUGUCCGGAUUCACUGGGCGUACAGGGAGCGUAGGCGGUUGGGUAAGCCCUCCGUGAAAUCUCCGGGCCUAACCCGGAAAGUGCAGAGGGGACUGCUCGGCUUGAGGACGGGAGAGGAGCGCGGAAUUCCCGGUGUAGCGGUGAAAUGCGUAGAGAUCGGGAGGAAGGCCGGUGGCGAAGGCGGCGCUCUGGAACGUUUCUGACGCUGAGGCUCGAAAGCGUGGGGAGCAAACAGGAUUAGAUACCCUGGUAGUCCACGCCUUAAACUAUGGAUACUAAGUGUCGGCGGGUUACCCGCCCGGUGCCGCAGCUAACGCAGUAAGUAUCCCGCCUGGGAAGUACGGCCGCAAGGUUG